rnacentral:tRNA from 1 species
GGAGAAGUGGCCGAGUGGCUGAAGGCGCUCGCCUGCUAAGCGAGUAUAGGGUACUCCUCUAUCGUGGGUUCGAAUCCCACCUUCUCCG